UCAAACUUGGUCAUUUAGAGGAAGUAAAAGUCGUAACAAGGUCUCCGUUGGUGAACCAGCGGAGGGAUCAUUACUGAGUUAUCCAACUCCAAACCACUGUGAAUCUACCACUGUUGCUUCGGCUGCCACCCAAUUCGAUGAGAGUCGCUGCCCUGUUAUACGCCGUACCUUCUCAGGUCCGGCGGCACCGCAGAUGAUGCCUCAGCGAGACUGGAACUGUGCAAGGCGUAGGGGAAACCCGCCGUCGAGUAAGUGCACGAAGGAAUCCGGAUUGGAGGCGGGGCAUCCCCGCCAGGUGGCCGGAGGCUCCAAACUCUUGUUUUACUAGUAUCCUCUGAGUGGAUUAUGCAAAUAAAUCAAAACUUUCAACAACGGAUCUCUUGGCUCUGGCAUCGAUGAAGAACGCAGC
rnacentral:misc_RNA from 1 species